GGGGAAAUUUUAAAGAUUUAUAGAUAUAAGAAGAUGGUGCAUGAGUUCGAAUGAGACAACUUUCCAUCAAAGUAAUAAUUGUUUAAAGUAAACCAUUAUAGAUCAAAGUAGGGCCUUAAACACGGAGCAUUGGCUUACAGCGAACACCACGCUAUAUAGGAACAAAAACAUUACUAGUGUUAAACCAUUCAAAAAGGAAAAACAACGGUCUAAUUUGUAUAAAAAAGGAGAUUCAAAAGUAC
rnacentral:lncRNA from 1 species